UAUAAUUAAAUAAACUUUAUCUGUAUGUUCAAUCUCAUAAUGAUAAAUUUACAUUCCACUAAUAAAAUCAAAUCAUAAAAACACAUCAACAGAUAAAUAGGAUAUGAAGAUGAUUACUAAUUAUAAUUGUAUUUUAAUUCCAAUUUUAUCUUCCUUCCAUUACAUUCCGACUUAUAUUCCUUAAAAUUUAAGUUUGAAGACACCUUAACCUUUGUUUACUAGAUGAAAUGGCAUGCUCAUUCUUCACAUCCCAUCAACAUAUAUAUAUUUCACCAACUUUCUACGUCUCUCACAGAACAAAUAUCAAACACCUUGUGAGCAUCCCCAAACUUCUCCGUCCACAAAAAGCAAGCAAAUGAAUCAGGUAGUUUCUAGCAGACAAAUUUCAGUCACCAGGCUUUCAAAGCCAGGGAGUAGAACUUCCAUACUCCGCUCAAUUCACCUCAAAUCCAAGCAAAAUUCGUUCCAAAACAUGGUUCCGUUAUAAAAUCUCAAUCCAGCAAAAGCGUCAUUCGAGUUUAAACAGCAGCAAGAGAAAGAACACUCAAUGAAGUUAAACUUAAGCUUGUUUAUACCAGGCUUGCAAGGAGAGAGACUGCUAAAUGAGAUGAAGACAACAAGUCGAACGCGUACGCGGCGGAAUUCUCCAUGCUGAUCCGGGAUUUCAGCUUACCUGCUCUUUCUUUUUCCUUUUUUUUUUCUUCAUCUCCUUUGACUUUUCUGAAUACAGACAAGUAGAAAAAUGAUGAACUUGGAAUUUUCAAUAUUAUAAUUUAAAUUUUUU
rnacentral:lncRNA from 1 species